UGUGUGUGUGUGUGUGUGUGUGUAACAGUGUGUGUGUGUGUGUGUGUGUGUGUGUGUUACAGUGUGUGUGUGUGUGUGUGUGUGUGUGUGUGUGUGUGUGUGUGUGUGUGUUACAGUGUGUGUGUGUGUUACAGUGUGUGUGUGUGUGUGUGUGUGUGUGUGUGUGUGUGUGUGUGUGUGUAUGUGUGUUGUGUGUGUGUGUGUGUGUGUGUGUGUGUGUGUGUUACAGUGUAUGUGUGUGUGUGUGUGUGUGUGUGUGUGUGUGUGUGUGUGUUGUGUGUGUGUGUGUGUGUGUGUGUGUGUGUGUGUGUGUGUGUGUGUGUGUGUGUGUGUAACAGUGUGUGUGUGUGUGUGUGUUACAGUGUAUGUGUGUGUGUGUGUGUGUGUGUGUGUGUGUGUGUGUGUGUGUGUGUGUGUGUGUGUUACAGUGUGUGUGUGUGUGUGUGUGUGUGUGUGAAUGUCGCCUCAGGCAGAUUUUCUUUACAACUGUUUUUUUUUCAGAGUUCAGAUUUUUUAGAUGUCAGUUCAUCACAUUUAUUAUUAUUUUUGUAUUAUUUUAUUUUUCACUCCUGUGCACUACCGAGGUGCCCUUGUGCAAGUUACUAACCCCAACUGCUCACUGCUCCAUCACUCCACCUUUACAUGUCUAUAAGAAUUUACCCAGUAUAUACGUAUAUUCUUCUUCUUUGACUUUAGACUCUGUUGAGGACUAGGGUUGAGGACUGGGGUUGAGGGGUUAGGGUUGAGGACUAGGGUUGAGGACUGGGGUUGAGGGGUUAGGGUUGAGGACUAGGGUUGAGGACUGGGGUUGAGGGGUUAGGGUUGAGGACUAGGGUUGAGGACUAGGGUUGAGGACUAGGGUUGAGGGGUUAGGGUUGAGGACUAGGGUUGAGGACUAGGGUUGAGGACUAGGGUUGAGGGGUUAGGGUUGAGGACUAGGGUUGAGGACUAGGGUUGAGGGGUUAGGGUUGAGGACUAGGGUUGAGGACUAGGGUUGAGGACUAGGGUUGAGGGGUUAGGGUUGAGGACUAGGGUUGAGGACUAGGGUUGAGGACUAGGUUUGAGGACUAGGGUUGAGGACUAGGGUUGAGGGGUUAGGGUUUGUGUCAUAUGGAGUACUCUGUCAGUGAUAUUUGUACUUUUACUUCAGUAAUCUGAAUACUUCGUCUAUCAUUGAGCGUUAGUACUGAAAACUACCAAAAUAAAAGCUGUAAUAAGGAUUAUCCUUUAACUCCGAGUCUGAAGCCGAGGAUGCGUCAGGAGACAGACAGACAGGCAGUGAGACAGACAGCAGUAUGUUGAGUAUUUGUAUGAAUAUUAUUAUUAAUGAGAGUAGUGUGAGUGACAGCAGCAGCAGCUCCUCUGAUCUAAAAGCAGUUCUUAUCUCAGUUUACUUCAAACCUUCAUGUUAAAAUAUCUCCGUUUACUUCAGAACUUCCUCCUGCGGCCGCUGUGAUUGAAAGCUCGUUUUUCAGCUCUCAGCUCAAUCACACCGACUCUGUGCCGACGUUUCAAAGUGCUGAUUUUGGUAAAUGACUAUAAUUAAUCCUCCUGAGCGCCGGUUCGAGUCCCAGCGGUGCCGGACUCGCCGUGUGAUUGACAGCUCUAUUUUUAAGCCUUCCUGUCGACAACAGGAAGCGGAGCGGGAAGGAAAUGGGACGUGACGGCUGCUGAUGUGAUGAUGGACGGUUUGUCCCCGUCUCCUGCGGAGACUGAAACCCUCUGUUUGUCCUGCCAGGAGCCUCUGAGCAAGGCACCGAACCACAACAGGAGCCUGAGAGGGACUUCUAGAAACAGACUUACUCUCUAAAAAGUACUUCAGGAAUUCCUUUUAGUACUUAGAUAAACAUCUAAUUAAUUAAUUUAGAUAAAGUGUUUAAGUUACAAACAUUUCGAUGAGUUGUGUUGACAUAAAUAAACUAGUUGAAACUAUUUAAUUUACACAGUAAUAAGUUAUUUUAAUUUAAAUAAUUGUUGAAAUGGAUCAUUUUGAACAUUUUAAAUGACACAGACUCAAUUUAAGUUAAACAGAUUCCUGAUGAAGCAGCUUUUAUUUCUCAUUUUAAGUGACACUAACUUCAGUUAUAGAAACAUUAUUACUUACAUAAGUAAUAUUUACUGGGUAUUUUCUUUUCACAGUACAAACACAAAUUACUAAAAACUACUUCAUCAACAUUGUCAGAAAUAUACAAAAAUACUAACUUUAUUUUGUUUUACUUAAAGUUCAUGUUUCCUAAUCAACCAAAAAAAAUAGUUUUUAUGUUACCAAUUAUUAAUUAAGUGGUAAUUAAAAAUACCUUUAUUGUAGAGAGUUAUUCCCUGAACUCAGUAAAGUGUAGUUAGUUGAACAUCAUUUCAUUUGUUGUCAUGACUCAAAACAAUUGAUGGAAACUGUUUUUUUAAUUUUGGUGGUGAACCAAACCAUUUGUUUUUAGAGUUUGGAUCAGUUCUGGUUUCAGACUGAUCGCCAUGUUUCUACAGUAUUUUACAGUAAAUCCAUUUUAAACCACAUUAAUUAACACGAGCUGCUGUUAAAGGUUUUCAGACUUUACUUUCACUGUACAUUGAAUUAAAGUAAAUUGUGUUCAAACAACAAUAAUCUAUAAAUUGUACAAAUAAAUGUCAUUAUUUUGUGUUUGGUUCAGUUUGAAAUGUUACUGUGAAUUAAACACAGAUUCACCGUUA